rnacentral:rRNA from 1 species
GUCGAGCGAACAGACGAGGAGCUUGCUCCUCUGACGUUAGCGGCGGACGGGUGAGUAACACGUGGAUAACCUACCUAUAAGACUGGGAUAACUUCGGGAAACCGGAGCUAAUACCGGAUAAUAUAUUGAACCGCAUGGUUCAAUAGUGAAAGACGGUUUUGCUGUCACUUAUAGAUGGAUCCGCGCCGCAUUAGCUAGUUGGUAAGGUAACGGCUUACCAAGGCAACGAUGCGUAGCCGACCUGAGAGGGUGAUCGGCCACACUGGAACUGAGACACGGUCCAGACUCCUACGGGAGGCAGCAGUAGGGAAUCUUCCGCAAUGGGCGAAAGCCUGACGGAGCAACGCCGCGUGAGUGAUGAAGGUCUUCGGAUCGUAAAACUCUGUUAUUAGGGAAGAACAAAUGUGUAAGUAACUAUGCACGUCUUGACGGUACCUAAUCAGAAAGCCACGGCUAACUACGUGCCAGCAGCCGCGGUAAUACGUAGGUGGCAAGCGUUAUCCGGAAUUAUUGGGCGUAAAGCGCGCGUAGGCGGUCUUUUAAGUCUGAUGUGAAAGCCCACGGCUCAACCGUGGAGGGUCAUUGGAAACUGGAAAACUUGAGUGCAGAAGAGGAAAGUGGAAUUCCAUGUGUAGCGGUGAAAUGCGCAGAGAUAUGGAGGAACACCAGUGGCGAAGGCGACUUUCUGGUCUGUAACUGACGCUGAUGUGCGAAAGCGUGGGGAUCAAA